UUUAUUUUGUUUGAUUUUUGGAGGUGGGUCUGCUAUUGUGACCAGGUUGGCCUUAAACUCCUUAUCUCAAGGAAUGCUCCUGCCUCAGCCUCCCAAGUAGCAGGCAUGCACCACAGUGCCUGGCUCUUUGUCCACUUUUUGUUUUCUAUAUUUUCUUAUUGUGCAUGAUAGUUGUACACAAUGGUGGAAUUUGUUGUUACAUACUCGUACAUGUACACAAUAUAACAAUGUCAUUGUCUAAUGUCAUUCCCCAGUAUUUCUCCCUUUCCAUCUCCUCUUCCCUCCCCUGGUUCCUUUCCUCUACUCUACUGAUCUUUCUUCAGUUUUCAUGAGACCCUCCCCACCUUUCUUUAGUUUUCCUCUCUUGCUUCCACAUAAAGGAGAAAACAUGUUACCCUUCACUUCUGAGUCUGGCUUAUUUCGCU
rnacentral:lncRNA from 1 species